rnacentral:lncRNA from 1 species
GUACUUCUUGUUUCAGACCUGUUACCCAGAUAAAUGCCCAGAACCUGCAUUUUUAAGAAUACCCAUCUGUAAGUGCUAACGAAAGAUCUUUUUCAGGCAAAAUCUAAUUCCACAGUUUCCUUCGUUCCUUGCAGCCCUAAGCCGGACUUGCUCUCAAGGCCAAAUAACUUGAUUUCUUACCCCUCAGCAGCUUCCCUUGGGACCCUUCCUUUUCCUCCCUAUGGUUAUGUUGCUAAAUGUUGCUAUCUCACAUUUCGCUUUUAAUUUUGAAAGUUAUGGGGAUGCAUUUGCUUAUCGCAGAAAGAAACCUUAUUCUUGUUCCUGACUGUGUAAUUACAAGAAAUAAGUAAAUGUAUACACAAGGAUCAUCAGCCACAUCACGUGACAUCGCAUGCAAGCAUGCACUCCUAGUUAAGAGCAAAUUGAAAUGGAUCCAAAAUAUCAUAAGAUCCACGUGGUUACAUAAAGUUAAUCAAUUAUAUUGUAUUAAUUACAGGUGAUGUAUAUUGUAUUAAUUAUCUACAGAAAUAUCAAGGACUUUAACUGUGUUUUCAUUGAUAUUUCUUUCCUUUUUUUAUAUAUAUUUUUGAAAGUUGUUGAUGGACCUUUACUUUUUAAAUUUAUUUGUAUGUAGUGUCGAGAAUUGAAGCCAGUGCCUCAUGCAUGCCUGGCAAGCAUGCUACCACCGAGCCACAACUCCAGCCCUCAUUGAUAUUUCCUUUUAUCAAGGUACAAACAUUCUAAGGUUUUCAGAAAUUAUUUCAAAGUAUAACCAGGAAAAAUUCUAAAAGGAAUUUCAACAGAGGAGAAGCACAC